GAUGAACGCUGGCGGCGUGCCUAAUACAUGCAAGUCGAGCGGACGGACGAGAAUCUUGCUUCUCUGAUGUUAGCCGCGGACGGGUGAGUAACACGUGUAUAACCUACCUAUAAUACGGGUAUAACUUCGGGAAUCCGGAGCUAAUACCGGAGAAGAUUUUGAACCGCAGGGUGCAAAAGUGAAAGACGGUCUUGCUGUCACUUAUAGAUGGAUCCCGGCUGCAUUAGCUAGUUGGUAAGGUAACGGCUUACCAAGGCAACGAUGCAUAGCCGACCUCAGAGAGUGAUCGGCGACACUGGAACUGAGCCAGCGUCAAGACUCCUGCGGGAGGCCCCAGAAGGGAAUCUUACGCAAUGGGCGAAAGUCUGACGGAGUAACCCGGCGUGAGUGAUGACGGUGCUGGGAUCGUGAAAACCCGUUAUUAGGGAAGAACAUAUGUCUCCGUAAAUGUGCACAUAUUGACGGUACUUAAUCAGAAAGCACCGGCUAACUACGUG
rnacentral:rRNA from 1 species